rnacentral:tRNA from 1 species
CGCUACGGACUUAAAUCCGUUGGUUUUUAAUAUACCUUGAGGGUUCAAGUCCCUCUACCCCCA